rnacentral:lncRNA from 1 species
AUGCGUCGGUGCCUGCCUGCCUGCCUGCCUGCCUGCUGUAAAGGGAUGCAUUUAAGCAGCUGCACAGACGCGGCCCCACGAAGCAGCGGGAAUCCACAAUGGCCUGGAGGAGAUGACAUCAUCCCCGAGCAACUCUGGCUUACACAGUACAGUGUGUUCUACAGUAAUCAUAUUGCCAUGUCAUUCCCCAUAAGCUCGGGCCAUUUAAAUCCUUUAAUUAUACACCAGCAGCACUGAAGCGGUGUUUACCGUAAGAGUCCAGUGUACCUAGUUUUGUGUUGUACAUUGAGUCUUAUGUUAAUAAACUUGUGUGGCGGAAGAGCCCUGCAGGCGUUCACAGCCACUGUAAUGAGACUGUGUUUAGUCUGGAGACCGUGUAGGACUAAUGCUGAUGGAUUGUAUGGCUGCAGGUCAGGUCUUGCUCUCACACACUCUACGGUAGGAGGAAGGGGAAAGUUUCAUUUGCAAGAUUAUGAAACAAUCCAACAUAAAGUUAUUAUUACCGUGUUGAUAUGAGCUACGGGAAAGCUACACAUCAUUGCCAGUGGAGCACAAAAGGAGGACAUUGUUUGCAAUCCCCCUGGCUUUUAGCGGUGGAGGAGUGGUAAAAUAGUUCAUCAAUAAAAUUGAGUUGCUGUAGUCAAACAUGAAACCUAAACAACAUCAAUCUCCGAGAAAUACAUUCCGUUUAUCACUUCUCACUACAGCAGUUGAUAUUCUAAGAAGUACGGGACGGUUCCCACUGAAGCCAUGUGGCUCAGCUCCCCUGCCGACCAGCCCAGACUUGCCCCCGAAGGAGAUAAGAUAGUGUUGACUACAGACCACUCUGUGUAGAUGGGUGAGGGGCCUCCGCUGUGCUUAAGGGGCCAGUGUACUCCAUCUCGGACGCUUGUCGGAUGAGGUAAAUAACUUUGGAAACCUCCUCAACCCCUCACCUUUUCUGACCUUGGAUCAGGGGGGCGGUCUGUGUCCGAAGUUUCUAACAAUUUGACAUUCAUACCUAUUUUUGAAAAAGGAGACUGAGUUUAAAGGCCCUAUUUGUGAGAAAAAUGUACUUUUGAGUCACAUUCUCAACUCUCUUCUGGACUGUAGGUCAGAUCGGCUGCCAUCCUGAAACGUACGUUGCAAAUUUGUCUCAAAAAUCAACUUUUCAACUUUUUGUGCUCAUUUUCAUUUUCAUCAUUUUAUUUUCGGUUACAACUAGAAAAGCAAACAUGACUGAUCAGUUCUCCAAAACUGUCCAGUGCUGCAGCGCAAUGUCCCCCUCAUGUUUCUUUAAAGUCCUCCUUCCCAAAUACCCAGUCUGCUCGGAUUGACCCAGCACAACUAACAACAACAGAUCAGCUGUGCUUUAUCAAUUCUUACUUGCCAAACUUUAAUAAAUUAUUGUGAAAACGUGACACGUUGGCAUAGCGCGAUGUCACAAAAUCACGGCAUAGAAGGCGAGACUACUGACGAGGUGUUUCAGGAACAGUAUUUUCUGAGGGGGAGAAGAGCUUCUGUUGUUGUGGACUUGGCCUAUUUACCUUUCGUGAUCUUUACAUGAACAAGAUCACAUAUAAAUCACUGGAGAAAAGGAAACAAUGAAAAAGCAUAAUUGCUAGGUCUCCCUUAAACUUCUCUCUUAGCUCUCUUCAUACAACUAUUUCUAUCACUUGUCAUGUAAAUAAGACUGUUAUUGUCUUCCAGGAGAGACUGUUUUACAAUGCGCACUGUUAUCUGCAGACAACCUUUCCCUUUUCCUAUGAGUAAGUCCUCUUGGACCAGGUUUAAACACGUCUGUUAUCUGACACGGUUGGACAACGCGUCUUAAGCAUCGCCUCUUUUCUAGUUCAGCAACCUCUGAGUCACUCUCAGUCGCAUCCUGUGCUCUGAAGUUUUACUGGUUUAUGAUCUUUGCACCACUGGUCGAGCAGCGACAGUUCAAAGCAGCAUGACAAAUUGAGAAUCCAUGCCCUGUGGACAAAUCUGAGGCAGCAUUGUGUCAGGAUCUUGAGGUUUUAUAAUUAGCAGGUGGGAUAACCAGUAAUUUAAGUCAGGAAAUGUUAGUUUUAUUUAUCUCUUGAUGGCUUCCUCAGGUUCCUGAAAGUUAAUUAAUUCCUCUAAACUGUCUUUUACUAACGAUCACAUAAUGGCAGUUGCAACCCUACUCUAGUCUAUCUGUCCUACAUUGAGCUCUGUGCAUGAUCACAUUUAUUGUGUUUCCAUUCCCAUCUGAUAAGUUUUUAUGUUCCAGAACAACUACAGACAUGCAUUUCCACAGGAAAUUUCCUAAAAGCCGAUUUUAUCCUUUAAUUUUAUUAAAGUUGAAACCAAACCUCACACAAAGAGUCUAUAUUAUACAAAUGACUGCAUGAAUACUGUGGCUUGCUUGUCAAUCAUCCCUUGCAUAUUACUUUUUCACAGAUGAAUAAAGAGAUUUAGUCACAAACUGGUCGGAAACAGCAUUGUGAAAAUCAGCUGCAUCAAUCAGGCUUUAACCUUGAAAACAAAAAAACAAGAAGAAAUGGACCCAUACGGAGACAAACACCUGAAGCAAAUCCAAGCAUUCACUCUUGUUUGAACAGUGACUAGAUAAGAUAGCUCAAAGUUAUCAGCACAAGAUGAAUUCCCAGAGGAACCCCCAGGAGGGGUUUCAUCAAUGCAGUGGGAGGGAGAAAAUCAAUCCCUCACACCACAAAUAGUGACAAAUAACCACCUCAAACUGAAG